AAAGAGAACCUUCCUAUACCACUUUUAUCCUUUUAAGGCGAAUGCAAAAACCCCACUUUUCUGGGCUGAGAUGGCUUCCGAUCUAAAUCUAAGGGGCAUAGCUAUUUUGAACUGCCUGAAAGUGCUCACAAUAAACUUUGAGGAAGAAGGAUUUUGUUCAAUGGAGAAAGCCUUCUCCUUCCCGACCAUGAAUCUCUCUUUAUUGAACGUGAUUGGAGGGUUCAAUCAAGCAAGAAUGAGGAAACUUUGACCUUGAUUGAAUGUGCUACACCUGACGAAAGAGUUUGGUUUGGUAGCAUACUUAUGUGAUGAACUAGCCUUUGUCAACUUUGAAAGGUGAUCCAUAUAUCAUAGGCCAGGCAAUGGAUGAG
rnacentral:lncRNA from 1 species